UACAGAGGGGGCAAGCGUUGUUCGGAAUUACUGGGCGUAAAGGGCGCGUAGGCGGCCUGUUAAGUCGAACGUGAAAUCCCCGGGCUUAACCCGGGAACUGCGUCCGAUACUGGCAGGCUUGAAUCCGGGAGAGGGAUGCGGAAUUCCAGGUGUAGCGGUGAAAUGCGUAGAUAUCUGGAGGAACACCGGUGGCGAAGGCGGCAUCCUGGACCGGCAUUGACGCUGAGGCGCGAAAGCCAGGGGAGCAAACGGG
rnacentral:rRNA from 1 species